AAAUGUAUUUGGAAUAUAUUAUUGUGUGGUGCCAGAUUCAGUGACCAUGUGACCCAGUAACAAACAGCCCCAUCAGUAACACUGACACAGCACCAACAGGUUGAACAGGUGUGCCUAAUAAAGUGGCAGGUGAGCGUAGAUAACAGAAGCAGAGAGGAGGCCAGAGCAGCUGAAGCUUCAUGUUUCUGUGAGCUCCACAAACGUUAACAGCUGACACAGAACACUGACCGUCUGACUCACCGACACUUCCGGUGAAACCGAAACUAACCUGCGGUCAGAGUCACAGCUGGAGGAGGAGCAGUGUGUGGGAGCGGCUCCGUGGGGAUUUCACGGGACUAAAGGAGGAUGAAGAUGCUGCUGCUGCUGCUCCUCGUCAGCGGAGCACUUCUGAAAUAUUUUGGAGCACCCUCUGCUACUUCCCAUGAUGAGGGGCCCUCCACCUCCUCAGCCACAUCUGUGUGUCCACAAAUGUCUGAUCCCGAGGAUGGAGACCAAAUUACAGGAUCCCUUUCCAGACGCCUUAACGCCCACUCACAUCCUGGGCCUUUUGACCUCAGGAAAUCACAUGAUAGGGUGGGGCUAGGUUCACAGUGAGUUCACCCGAAACUUGGCUGAUUGCGACCUAUACCCGUUUUUACACCUUGACUCGUGUGAUUAAGUAGAGGAUGAAUAGGGGGUCCAUGUCCCUUUUGGGGGACACUCCCAUAGGGCCUAAAUCUGGGACUCUCCACAAAGUGACCGUAGAGCUGAAGAAGAGAGAUGAGAGGUGAAACGUCUUUAAGCAAUGUUAAGGGAAAAUCCCAAAUGGCAAACUGCAAAUAUAAACAGAAACACAGUGAGACAAAAUACUUAAUCACAUGUACAUGGGUGAAGUCUCAAGUGACAGUCACACAGUGUACCUCUUUAUUCGUGCAUUUAUAGUCACUGGUGCCCACACAACAGGGCGGCGUAUUUUCGCUCUUCUCAGAAAAAUGACUAUACAACAGUAUGUGGCUAUCUUACUGGAACA